AGUUCCAUAGUGUAGUGGAAUCAAGUCUGCUUUACGCGCAGAAGGUCGUGGGUUCGAGCCCCAGUGGAACCA